rnacentral:rRNA from 1 species
GUGAGGAAUAUUGCGCAAUGGAGGCAACUCUGACGCAGCCAUGCCGCGUGCAGGAAGAAGGCGCUACGCGUUGUAAACUGCUUUUAACCGGGAAGAAACCCCAGGACGUGUCCUGGGUUGACGGUACCGGAGGAAUAAGCACCGGCUAACUUCGUGCCAGCAGCCGCGGUAAUACGAAGGAUGCAAGCGUUAUCCGGAUUCAUUGGGUUUAAAGGGUGCGUAGGCGGAGCGUUAAGUCAGUGGUGAAAUCCUGCAGCUUAACUGUAGACUUGCCAUUGAUACUGGCGCUCUUGAGUGCGCUUGAAGUGGGCGGAAUGUGCCGUGUAGCGGUGAAAUGCUUAGAUAUGGCACAGAACACCAAUUGCGAAGGCAGCUCACUAAGGCGAUACUGACGCUGAGGCACGAAAGCGUGGGGAUCGAACAGGAUUAGAUACCCUGGUAGUCC